AUACGGAGGGGGCUAGCGUUGUUCGGAAUUACUGGGCGUAAAGCGCGCGUAGGCGGACCAGUCAGUCAGGUGUGAAAUCCCGGGGCUCAACCCCGGAACUGCCUUUGAUACUGCUGGUCUUGAGUUCGAGAGAGGUGAGUGGAAUUCCGAGUGUAGAGGUGAAAUUCGUAGAUAUUCGGAGGAACACCAGUGGCGAAGGCGGCUCACUGGCUCGAUACUGACGCUGAGGUGCGAAAGCGUGGGGAGCAAACAGGAUUAGAAACCCUAGUAGUCC
rnacentral:rRNA from 1 species